rnacentral:lncRNA from 1 species
UGAACCACCACAUGACAGUGGAAGAAAACAAGCGUGUCACGUGUCACGUGUCACAUGUCACAUGUCAGCGAGAAAACAGAGGUACCAAGGGGUCAGUUUUAUUUUCUACGAUAAACUACCCUGACAAAGGCAGUGUAAGUGAGAAAGGGGUCUAUCUGAACUACAGUUCCAAUCACCAUUGUCACAGCAGGAAGGACAGGUGGAGGAACCUGAAGCAUCUGGCCCAAGCUGGUCAUGUUAUAUCCACAGUCAAGAGGGGAGACAAUGAGUUAAUGGAUGAGUGCUUCGGUUCCUCUCUCCUUUCCACCAUGUCUGGGCCCCUGCCCAUGAAAUGUGGGCACCACAUACAAGGUGGGUUUUCUCAGGUCAGCUCACUCGAGUUAAGAAAACAUUUUACAAACAUGCCCACAGGUCAACACAAGUCAUCAACUUCCUCACUGAGAUACCUUUGGCAGAUGAUUCUAAACUGUGUCAACUUGACAGUUAAAACCAACCACCACAUAAGGCUCUUCCUCAGUCCUUCCAGAAAGCAAUUUGAAAAUUAAAAUUCCUUUUUAAAAAAAAA